rnacentral:rRNA from 1 species
GAUGAACGCUGGCGGCGUGCCUAACACAUGCAAGUCGAACGAAGCGCCUUACCGGAUUCUUCGGCUGAAGGUCUGGUGACUGAGUGGCGGACGGGUGAGUAACGCGUGGGUAACCUGCCCUGUACAGGGGGAUAACAGCUGGAAACGGCUGCUAAUACCGCAUAAGCGCACGAGGAGACAUCUCCUUGUGUGAAAAACUCCGGUGGUACAGGAUGGGCCCGCGUCUGAUUAGCUGGUUGGCAGGGUAACGGCCUACCAAGGCAACGAUCAGUAGCCGGUCUGAGAGGAGGAACGGCCAAAUUGGAACUGAGACACGGUCCAAACUCCUCCGGGAGGAAGCAGUGGGGAAUAUUGCACAAUGGGGGAAACCCUGAUGCAGCAACGCCGCGUGAGUGAAGAAGUAUUUCGGUAUGUAAAGCUUUAUAAGCAGGGAAGAUAAGAACGGUACCGGACUAAGAAGCUCCGGCUAAAUACGG